UGCUGUGCCGGCGGCGCUAGAGAAGAGAUGCAUGGAGAGGAGGAGAAAGAGGAAGGGAAAGAGAAAGAGAAAAAAGAGAGAGGAAAGGUGGUGGCAUGCAUGGCACGGGAAAUGGGUAUACGGGAGCAAGGAUGACACGGGUGGGAGUGGUGAUGAUGAACUGUGGGUAUGAUAAUGGUAAUGGGAGUGUGAAUGGUGGUCUCGGGUGCAUGCGUGAUAAUCACGUAUACAUGGGACUUGAGAAACUGGAAGGGGUGGGAUGAGUGAUUGCAUAAAAGAGUGAGAAGACACGCACAUACACACUCGCUGGAAUAGCCACAAGUUCCCUUCAUUACAG
rnacentral:lncRNA from 1 species